rnacentral:rRNA from 1 species
CGGUGACAGGUGGUGCAUUGGUUGUCGUCAGCUCGUGUCGUGAGAUGUUGGUUAAGUCCCGCAACGAGCGCAACCCCUAUUGUUAGUUUGCCAUCAUUCAGUUGGGCACUCUAGCGAGACUGCCGGUAAUAACCGGAGGAAGUGGGAUGACGUCAAAUCAUCAUGCCCCUUAUGACCUGGGCUACACACGUGCUACAAUGGUUGGUACAACGAGUUGCGAGUCGGUGACGGCGAGCUAAUCUCUUAAAGCCAAUCUCAGUUCGGAUUGUAGGCUGCAACUCGCCUACAUGAAGUCGGAAUCGCUAGUAAUCGCGGAUCAGCACGCCGCGGUGAAUACGUUCCCGGGCCUU